CCUUUGUUAGCGGCGGAUGGGUGAGUAACACGUGGGCAACCUGCCCUGCAGUUGGGGAUAACUCCGGGAAACCGGGGCUAAUACCGAAUAAUCAGUUCCUUCGCAUGAAGGAACUCUGAAAGACGGCUAUGCUGUCACUGCAGGAUGGGCCCGCGGCGCAUUAGCUAGUUGGUGAGGUAACGGCUUACCAAGGCGACGAUGCGUAGCCGACCUGAGAGGGUGAUCGGCCACACUGGGACUGAGACACGGCCCAGACUCCUACGGGAGGCAGCAGUAGGGAAUCUUCCACAAUGGACGAAAGUCUGAUGGAGCAACGCCGCGUGAGCGAAGAAGGUUUUCGGAUCGUAAAGCUCUGUUGUGAGGGAAGAACAAGUACAGGAGUAACUGCCUGUACCUUGACGGUACCUCAUUAGAAAGCCACGGCUAACUACGUGCCAGCAGCCGCGGUAAUACGUAGGUGGCAAGCGUUGUCCGGAAUUAUUGGGCGUAAAGCGCGCGCAGGCGGACUUUUAAGUCUGAUGUGAAAGCCCACGGCUAGGCGCGAAAGCAUGGGGAGCACACAGGAUUAGAUACCCUGGUAGUCCAUGCCGUAAACGAUGAGUGCUAAGUGUUAGGGGGUUUCCGCCCCUUAGUGCUGGAGCAAACGCAUUAAGCACUCCGCCUGGGGAGUACGGCCGCAAGGCUGAAACUCAAAGGAAUUGACGGGGACCCGCACAAGCGGUGGAGCAUGUGGUUUAAUUCGAAGCUACGCGAAGAACCUUACCAGGUCUUGACAUCCCGCUGACCGGUAUAGAGAUAUACCUUUCCCUUCGGGGACAGCGGUGACAGGUGGUGCAUGGUUGUCGUCAGCUCGUGUCGUGAGAUGUUGGGUUAAGUCCCGUAACGAGCGCAACCCUUGACCUUAGUUGCCAGCAUUCAGUUGGGCACUCUAAGGUGACUGCCGGUGACAAACCGGAGGAAGGUGGGGAUGACGUCAAAUCAUCAUGCCCCUUAUGACCUGGGCUACACACGUGCUACAAUGGACGGUACAGAGGGUUGCCAACCCGCGAGGGGGAGCUAAUCCCAUAAAACCGUUCCCAGUUCGGAUUGCAGGCUGCAACUCGCCUGCAUGAAGCAGGAAUCGCUAGUAAUC
rnacentral:rRNA from 1 species